AUUGAACGCUGGCGGCAUGCCUUACACAUGCAAGUCGAACGGCAGCAUGAUCUAGCUUGCUAGAUUGAUGGCGAGUGGCGAACGGGUGAGUAAUACAUCGGAACGUGCCGUGUAGUGGGGGAUAACUAGUCGAAAGAUUAGCUAAUACCGCAUACGACCUGAGGGUGAAAGUGGGGGACCGCAAGGCCUCAUGCUAUAGGAGCGGCCGAUGUCUGAUUAGCUAGUUGGUGAGGUAAAGGCUCACCAAGGCGACGAUCAGUAGCUGGUCUGAGAGGACGAUCAGCCACACUGGGACUGAGACACGGCCCAGACUCCUACGGGAGGCAGCAGUGGGGAAUUUUGGACAAUGGGCGAAAGCCUGAUCCAGCAAUGCCGCGUGUGUGAAGAAGGCCUUCGGGUUGUAAAGCACUUUUGUCCGGAAAGAAAUGGCUCUGGUUAAUACCUGGGGUCGAUGACGGUACCGGAAGAAUAAGGACCGGCUAACUACGUG
rnacentral:rRNA from 1 species